rnacentral:rRNA from 1 species
CCCAUAUGGUCGACCUGCAGGCGGCCGCGAAUUCACUAGUGAUUAGAGUUUGAUCCUGGCUCAGAUUGAACGCUGGCGGCAGGCCUAACACAUGCAAGUCGAGCGGCAGCGGGGGGAAGCUUGCUUCCCUGCCGGCGAGCGGCGGACGGGUGAGUAAUGUCUGGGGAUCUGCCCGAUGGAGGGGGAUAACCACUGGAAACGGUGGCUAAUACCGCAUAACCUCUUUGGAGUAAAGUGGGGGACCUUCGGGCCUCACGCCAUCGGAUGAACCCAGAUGGGAUUAGCUAGUAGGUGGGGUAAUGGCUCACCUAGGCGACGAUCCCUAGCUGGUCUGAGAGGAUGACCAGCCACACUGGGACUGAGACACGGCCCAGACUCCUACGGGAGGCAGCAGUGGGGAAUAUUGCACAAUGGGCGCAAGCCUGAUGCAGCCAUGCCGCGUGUAUGAAGAAGGCCUUCGGGUUGUAAAGUACUUUCAGCGGGGAGGAAGGCAACAGCGUGAAUAGCGCUGUUGAUUGACGUUACCCGCAGAAGAAGCACCGGCUAACUCCGUGCCAGCAGCCGCGGUAAUACGAAUCGAAUUCCCGCGGCGCCAUGGCGCCCGGGAGCAUGCGAC